UACGUAGGGACCAAGCGUUGCUCGGAUUUACUGGGCGUAAAGGGCGCGUAGGCGGCUUAACAAGUCACUUGUGAAAUCUCCGGGCUUAACUCGGAACGGCCAAGUGAAACUGUCAAGCUAGAGUGCAGAAGGGGCAAUCGGAAUUCUUGGUGUAGCGGUGAAAUGCGUAGAUAUCAAGAGGAACACCUGAGGUGAAGACGGGUUGCUGGGCUGACACUGACGCUGAGGCGCGAAAGCCAGGGGAGCAAACGGG
rnacentral:rRNA from 1 species